AUCCAGCUUAUGAGUCCCAAAUAGGACGAAUCGUACGUCCUGGAU
rnacentral:hammerhead_ribozyme from 1 species